rnacentral:lncRNA from 1 species
UGUUUGUGGGGUUUUUGGGCGGGGUACCAGGGACUGAACUCAGGACCUUGCACUUAUCAGGCAGGUGCAGUGCUGCUGAGCUACAUCCCCAGCCACCCUUAGGUAAUUUUUUUUUUUUGGUACUGGGGAUCGAACUUGAAGCAGCCGCUGGAACCACUGAGCUAAAUCCCCAGGCCCCCUUAGGUAAUAUUCAUUAAAUGGGGAUCAGAUGAGGAAGCCAGUCCCACAGCAAGCAAGCAAACAUGGAAGGAGCAAGGACUAACCUGGAGGGAAGGAGCUGGCUGCUGCUCAGCCUCAAGUACUUUGUUAUCGCAGUGGAAAACAGAUUAAUAUUUGAGACAAGUCAACUGUGUGUGGAGGACAACAGGAAAGGCUACGGGACCUGGGCGGAAGAACUACAAGUCACACUGGCGCAGGAAGCACUGCAGUUAACAAAGGAGAGGUGAGCUGGGAGUGGGACCGGCCUGGUGCUGUUCAUCCUGUGACCUUGGGAACGCCAUUGCUUCACGUCCAUGAACCUCAGUCUCCUUAUCUGUGGAGCAGGCCGCAAGACAAUAAUUGGGUGCUGUGAUGAUCAGAUGAGAUAACCUAUCUGACUGAUUUGCGGAACAAUGGGCGUGGUGCAGUCACCUUUUCACCCACUGAAGGAAGGAAUCCAGACCCGAGCAGCUGCCGUGGGGGAGACCACCUGGGGACCACCCAAAGGCGGCCCUUAGGAGACAGGCAGACCAGGGGAGCUCUGACACCACAGCCCUGAGGUCAAAGUUCAAAAGUCAAAAGCCUGGCGCCCCCUUCAGCUGUGUGGAGCAGCAGCCCCAAGGGGAGAAAAUUUCGGGGCAGCCGCUCCUCGGCCUUCUCAAAAC